UACAGAGGGGGCAAGCGUUGUUCGGAAUUACUGGGCGUAAAGGGCGCGUAGGCGGCCUGUUAAGUCGAACGUGAAAUCCCCGGGCUCAACCCGGGAACUGCGUCCGAUACUGGCAGGCUUGAAUCCGGGAGAGGGAUGCGGAAUUCCUGGUGUAACGGUGAAAUGUGUUGAUAUCAGGAGGAACACCCAUGGCGAAGGCAGCAAACUGGGCAUCAUCUGACGCUGAGGCGCGAAAGCGUGGGUAGCAAACAGG
rnacentral:rRNA from 1 species